UAAGGAAAUUUCUGUUUUUCCUACCUCUACCUCCACCAAUGAAGGACUGAAAGUGAUCUGCGCUUGUUGUGGCUUUGCCGUCUUAACAUUGAUCCAUUGCUGAAUCUGAUCCCACACAAGGUCGGUUUUCGGGCAAUGGAGAAAAGUAUGAUCUGUCGUUUCCUCUCUCGUCAUGCACGCAUUACACCCUUUCUCUUCCUCUCCAAUCGGGACAUUUCUUUUGAUAAGGUUUUGACACGUUGGUAAUCUGUUGCAGAUAACUCUCCAUGCCGUCACUCUUGCCUUAUGAGGAGCCGGCGCCGUCCAAAUUUGUGCAAUCUCCUCUUUGAAAGUAAAAGUCUGUUCACCUUUAGCUUUUGCACAAACCUCAUAUGCCGAUUUAGUCGAGAACACUCCAUCUGCUGAACUCUUCCAUCUCCAUCCGUCCCUGCAGUCGAGUCUUGGAGAGAAACCACUGAUCAAAGCCAUAAAAUUGUUCACCAUCUCCUUCUCCCUCUCUCGCAGUUCCCUCCGCCACUUGAUAUCCCACGCCCACUCUUCCCCCUCCCACUUCCCCGCUUCCUCUACUUUGAUCCAAAUCAAUCUAAGUUACUGUCCUAAAAAACCCUCGAACUCGGGGUUAGCGCAUAAAAUAUAUGCAGAAAAAUGCUCAUCCGAAUUAGCCUCUUCCUUAUAUCUAUAUUAAUUGGAAUAAUCAGCAAAAUAAGAUACAUCAUUUUUGAAAGAUAAAAUUUAAAAAAUAUUCAUUAUUUACAAAAUAAUAAAUUAUAUUUCUUUAAAAAAAAUUUAUUCUUAUGUACCAUUUCGUACAUUGCUCGACAUUGAAGCGUCGAGCAUCAUUGUCGAGCACUCAAGUGUAAAUUGUCGAGCAUAGACUGUCGAGUAUCAAGUACUUAGCAAUAAUUCAAUAUGAACUAUUGCUCGACACCUCGAGCGUCAGCGUCGAGCAUCGCGUGUCGAGCACUGAAUCAAUUCAAAUAUGAGACGAAGCAGAGGCAGAGGAUAGCAACACGGCGAGGUGAGGCAGAGGAGCAACACGGCGUGACAUAGCGAGGCAGAGGAGAGGUGAGGAAGAGACGCGCCAUGCAAAUCUGGAGAGAGAGAGAGAAUGAGUAAAACCUACAAUUAACCCUAAAAACAAUGUAUUAGGCAUACAAUAUAGAUUGUAUAUUAUAUUUAUAUUUAAUUUAAAAGGUAAUUAUAUAAAAUAUUACUCCCUCCGUCCACCAAUUCGUGUCCUAAUUUCUCAUUUUAGUCCGUCCACCAAUUCGUGUUCAAUCCAUUUUUAGUAACUAUUUCCUUAACAAAUAAAUCAUGUUUUCUUAGAAGUCGUGCCCCUUCUCCACUCAACAAAUAAAUAAUACUACAUCUUUUUUUAAAAGUGGUGCCCCUUCCUUAGGACACGAAUUGGUGGACGGGGGAGUAGAAAAUAUUUUCACAGCACUACGUCACUACCUAAAACUAAUUUUAUCGAGAAAAUUUUCUCGAGUGAAACUGAGCUGUUUAAAAAAUAUUUCAUUUUAUUUUAAAAAAUCUAUCACAAUAAAUAUGUGAAAAUAGUAAUAAAAAAAUAAUGAAUAUAUAUUUUCUCUCUUUUACGUCAAAAUAAAUGAACCUAGUUGAUUUUAAAAAAGUUGUUGAAUCUUCAAGUAAGUUUAGUAACUGUGAACUUAGCGCCAAGUCCAACGGUAAACCAAGAAUUUCAAGAAACUACUUAAAUUUCAUUAAUGGGCUUUAAAUAAGAUAAAAUAUAAAAUAAUAAAAUAAUUGAUGGUAUCUUUUGUCUUCUCAAUCAAUGAAGGCAGCGGCCCCUACUUUAAGAUUUAAUCAAUGCCAUGUUGCCAACUAUCCCUGUUUGCCACGAUACGUUUUCCACACUGAAUCCACACUUCUUCUACAAGUGGUCGCAUUUCUUUCUCUUAAUAUUAAUAUGAAUAGAUUUAUAGAUAGAAAGUGAUAUAUAUAUAUAUAUAUUAGAUACAAAAUAAUUAUUAUAUAUAUUAGAUUUAUUUUAUGAAUUCACUAUGAAACAUUAUAAAUUAAUUGUAAAAAAUUAAAAAUUUGAACUCUCUACUAUAAAAUCAUUAAGCAAAAUCAUGAACCUAAUGUUAAUUUUCACAAUUUAAGCUAAAAUAAUUUAUAUUUUAUAUUAUAUAUAUGUAGACUUAUUUUAAUCACUCUCUAUAUUAAAUAUAUACUCCAUCCGUCCGCGAUAUCGUUUCCACAUUGUGAAUGGCGCUGGUUUUAAGAAAAGUGGUGGAUAGUAGUGGAUAUUGUAGUGAGUGUAGUUUGGGCCCUACCAUAAAGGUGAAAAUAUAAGGUAAGAGAAUAAAGUGUUAUGUGGACCCUACAAAUAUAAAUGGAAGUGGAAACGAUAUCACGGACGGACCAAAAUGACAAAUGUGGAAACGAUAUCGCGGAUGGAAAGAGUAUAAAAAAGGAAAUCAUUCAAUAACAACUUUCCGAAAUAUCAUACGUCGUUCCAAGGUUUAAGUGGGAUGUGAUCCAGUGUCCCACAAUCUUAAGUGUGUCACUGUAUCCCAUGCUUAUAUCUAUUAUUAUAAAAAUAUUUUUUAUAAAAAUAAAAUUUAUUAUAAUACUAUGAAUUAUAUUUAAUUUUUAUUUUUUUAAAAUAAAUUUUUAAAAAGUAUAUACCAUAUAUGACUUUGAACGAAUUUAUCAACCUAUUAUUAGUUGAUAAAAGUAAAAUUAAAUGAUAAAAAAUAAUUAUAUACCCUAGAUUGAUGGAAUAAACCCUAGUUAAUAAUUACAAAAUUAAAUUAAAGCAUAUAAAGUUGAAAUUGAAGAAAAUAUAUAUAAAAAUUAAAUAAAAUUAAAAAUAGGAUACAAAGUGAAACAUAAAGUGUGGUACGCUGAAUCUAAUUGUGUCUUAAGCAUGUUUAAUUAAGUAUGUUCUAAAACAUGUUUUCACAUUUAAAAAUUAAUAUUUUAAUUCUAAUAUUUAAUUAUUGUCAUAAAAACUUUCAAAACACUUAUUUCGGCUUCGUAAAAUUGAUGUGUUACUCUUCAUUAUUUUCCCACCGCACCUUAGACCUAAAACUCUUUUAAUACCAAUAGUUAUGGGCGCAACCUCAGUACCUCACGUCUAGAUUAGAAAAACUAUGUAUUUUAGGAUAUCUACGUGUGUUCUCAUUGAUUGUGAAUUUAUCAUGAAAAAUAAAAGAUAAACAAAAUUUCAUCCUUUAAAUCCUUUUUUUUUCCUCUUAUUUUUUAUUAAAUAGAAUUUUACUCUUACUCAUCCCUCAUUUUCACUAUAAAUAAGGAAUAAUAUUAUUACACAAAAAAUGGAGGGAUAAUAUUAUCCCUACUUUUGAGUAAAAAGAGGAAUGAAUAAACAUCAAAUUCUAUUUUGUAGAAAAUGAGGGAAAUGAUUUAAAUGGUGAAAUUUUAUUUAUCCAUCACUUUUCCAUGAUAAAUUUACAACUAAAGAAAAUGUAAAUAUUGAAACAUUUUUAAAAAAAUAUGCUAAAGCGUUGGGAUAAUAUCCAUUAACUUUUCUAUAUUAUUUAUUUAUGAAAUGAUAAUAAAGAAACAUCUUGCUCUAUUUAUACUCUCAUCGAUCGAUCUCCCUAUUUCUCCUCACACUGCAUUACAUCUCCACACGAAUCCUACUUUCCUUUACUUUUCCUUCUCUCAUCAUCUCAACUUACUUUCAAGAUGGAUUUCAUCUCAAGCUUCGCAAAAGGCGGCGAUUCCAAGAAACAGCCCGCCGCCGGCGAGGAGAAACCCUCAACCGCCGAUAUUUUGGCGGACGCCAAGGUGGUGUCGGAGGCGGCUCGAGCCCAGUUCAGCAACCAGGCUGAGAAGUGCGACAAGGCCAAGGCCGCCGCCUCCGCCGCCGACCUCCUGGACGCCGCCUCGGACUACGGCAAGCUAGACGAGACCCAGGGAGUCGGCAAGUACGUUGAUCAAGCGGAGGGCUAUCUCCGCCAGUACAGCGGGCCCAAUUCCACCACCGCCGCCGCCGCCGCCGUCGCCGGCGAAGACAAACCUGCCGCCGCAACCGGAAUCCCUUCAGGCGAAGGGGAGCAUAUCAAGAAGGCGGAGGAGUCCGUGGAUGGAGGCGAGUACGUGAAGAAGGCGGAGGAGAAGGGCGAGUCGGAAGGCGGAUAUGGAGAUUUGAUGAAGGCUGCCGGCGGUUUCUUUAACAAAUAAGGAAGGCUAUGUAUAUGAAAAUGAUUCUACUGUCUCAGUGCUGUUGUUGUCAUGUUUAUCGAGUGAUUAGCGCUAGUGUUUGUAAUAAUGGAUUAGGUGGUUGUUAAUUUUGUGUGGCUCAUAGCCUUGUGUUUUGCGUCAUGUAAUACGUAUCUAUUAAGUUUGGUCUAAUUUAUGUUCACUUAUUUUGGAUUUAUAUUUUAACAUGUGCCACGUGAAUUACCUAAUUAAUCUAAUUUUGAAAUUAGUACAGUUCAUUGAAUUUCGAUAAAAAAAAUAUAUUAAUACUAUCCUUUUAAUCUUUUAC
rnacentral:lncRNA from 1 species